rnacentral:lncRNA from 1 species
AUGGUCUUGAUGCAAAGGUUACUUUGAACCUGUGUCUAAUGCCUUAUUCUGAGCCAAUCAAGGAGUAGUUCAUCUGAUACAUGGGAAGAUUAAGAAGAAGACUGUGACUUUUCUUGCUUGGAUGUGACUAUCUUUAUUUGAUGUCUUGGUCUUCAUCUUGCUACUUGUUUAUUGAUAUUGCUUGAUUCUAAAGUCCAAAGGAAAAGUGGGUUUCUAUAUGACAUUCUUGACUAUUGGAUUUCAUCCAAUUGGUCAGAUCUUUUCAACUCUUAACUUUUA